ensembl:snoRNA
CCCUACUACAAAGGUGUGUCUGUGGUUCCCUAUCCUUGGACACGUAAGUAUUGGAGGCAUAAAGAUGUGGACUUGGAGAAGUCUGGAGCCCCCUUGUUCCCGGCAGGCUCAAGAUCAUCCUUUCCCACACAG